rnacentral:rRNA from 1 species
CGUAGGUGGCGAGCGUUAUCCGGAAUUACUGGGCGUAAAGCGUGUGCAGGCGGGCUAGCAAGUGGUGUAUGAAAGCUCCCGGCUCAACCGGGAAGGGUUAUGCCAGACUGCUAGUCUUGAGUGCGAGAGAGGAGCGUGGAAUUCCGGGUGUAGUGGUGAAAUGCGUAGAGAUCCGGAGGAACCCCAGAGGCGAAGGCGGCGCUCUGGCUCGCAACUGACGCUCAGACACGACAGCAUGGGGAGCGAACGGGAUUAGAAACCCCGGUAGUCCAUGCCGUAAACGAUGCUAACUAGGCGCUGCGGGACUCAACCCCCGCGGUGCCGCAGCAAACGCAAUAAGUUAGCCGCCUGGGGAGUACGGCCGCAAGGCUA